UCUCUCUGUUUUGUUCAGUUUGGGAACAUGUUAAUACAAACAGGGUCUCUGUGCUUUGCUGUGACAUUGAUGGCUUUGUUGUGCUGGAGGAGCUAUUUUCUGGGGACAAUGAGGGAUUCCCUCUCCCUAUCUGGGAUUGAUGUGUAUUGUUUUAGAAUGCAGGCUCCCGUGUUCCUUGUUCUUCCUCAUGUAAGCUGUUGAAUACUAUUAAUACUAUUAACUAAUACUGUUGGCAUACUAUGGGGUUUGUGGAAUCUGGUGUCAUCCUGCUGUAAGACAAAGCAAACUGUAGGUGAGGAGAUCUUGAAAUGUGCCCUGAAGCGGCUGGUGCCUGGAUGGCAGUGUGUGUGGAAGGAUUUGGGCAGGUUCCUAGAGUGGUUAUCACCUCCCCAUGCCCGGGACUUUGCACCUAAACAGGCAAUGAGCCCUGGCAAACGGACGCGUCACCUGAUAGAAGGGUGCCUUAGCUACCCCAAUGAAACCCAGCAGCUUCUCGCCCUGUACAGGGGCCUGGCCUAUGCCUGCUGAGCCACAGCUCAGUACUGUCAGAGGAGUGUGGCUGAGGCAGGGACCCAAAGUGCAUUUGAGGACACUAUGGCUGAGAUAGGGACCCAAACAACAACAACUACAGUAAUUGCCCCCAGAAGUGUCAAAGGAAAGGUGAAUAAGGAGAGCCAAGGAGCAAUCAGCAAGACUCACUCAGCUUUUAGUAGUCCCAUGUGGCCAGUGCAAAAGUCUGAUGGAGGAUGGAGGUUAACAGUAGACCGUCGUGGCCUGAAUGAAGUAACGCCCCCACUGCGUGCUCCUGGUACCGCACAUGUUAGAGCUCCAAUAUGAACUGGAGUCAAAGGCAGCCAGGUGGUAUGCUGCACUUGGCAUUGUCAAUGCAUUUUUCUCAAUUCCUUUGGCAGCAGAGAGCAGACCACAGUUUGCUUUCAUGUGGCGAGGUGUCCAGUACACCAGGAAUCGACUGCCCCGGGGGUGGAAACACAGCCCUACCAUCUCUCAUGGACUGAUCCAAAGUGUACUGGAAAUGGGUGAUGCUCCUGAACAUCUACAAUACGUUCACGACAUCAUUGUGUGGGGCAGUGAGGCAGAAGUGUUUGAGAAGGGAAAAAGAAUAGUUCAGAAUGUUCUGAAAGCUGGGUUUGCCAUAAAGAAAAGCAAGGUCAAGGGACCUGCACAGGGCAUCCAGUUCUUGGGCGUCAAAUGGCAGGAUGGCCCCCGUCAUGUGCCUAUGGAUGUGGUUAGGAAGAUAGCAACUAUGUCUUCACCAGCUAAGAAGGUGGAAAUACCGGCUUUCGUAGGCCGCCUGGGGUUUUGGAGAAUGCAUAUUCCAGGUUAUAGUCAGCUUGUGAGGCCCCUCUAUCGAGUGACCUGGAAGAAGAACCAUUCUGAAUGGGGCCUUGGGCAACAACAGGCCUUUGAACAGAUCGAAGAGGAAAUAGCUUGCGCAGUAGCUCUUGGGCCUGUUCAGACUGGACUAGCCCUGCAAAAUAUACUCUACGCCGCAGCUGGGUAGCAUGGUCUCACUUGGAGCCUCUGGCAAAGAACAUCAAGAGAAACCCGAGGUCGACCAUUUGGGUUUUGUAGCCAGGGUUAUUGAGGGUCAGAAGGCCCGCUACACUCCAGCUGAAAAAGAAAUAUUAGCAGCGUAUGAGAGGGUUUGAGCAUCCUCAAAUGUUUUUGGGAAAGAAGCCCGUCUCCUCUUGGCACUGCAAUUUCCUCUGCUACACUAGAGGUUCAAAGGAAGCAUCCCUUUGACACAUCGUGCAAGCGGUGCUACAUGGAGUAAGUGGGUGGGUAGCCCUGAUCACACAACGAGCUUGACCGGGGAAACCCAAUUGCCUGAGAAUCCAUGAAAAAAGGCAGAGAUUUUGGAGAAUUUCUUUGAAAGGUCACUCGUGCUCAAGAAGCACCACCAUAUAAUGAGUUAUCAGAAGAUGAAAGAGGCCAUGCUCUCUUUACUGAUGGAUCCUGCCUUGUGGUAGGAAACCAUCAGAGGUGGAAAGCUGCUGUGUGGAGUCCCACACAACGAGUCGUUGAGGCCGCUGAAGGAGAAGAAAAGUGGCCUGUAUUGUGUCUCUGUAGUGACUCCUGGAUGGUGGCUAAUGCCCUAUGAAGGCGGCUACAGCAAUGGAAGAAGGCCAAUUGGCAAUGCAAGGGUAAACCCAUUUGGGCUGCUGCGUUGUGGCAGGACAUCACUGCACGGAUAGAAAACAUGGCUCUGAAGGAAUGUCACGUAGAUGUUUACAUGCCCAAAAGCCAUGCCACUGCGGAACAUCACAGCAACGAACAGCUCGAUAAGGCUGCCAAAAUUGAAAUAGCUCAGGUAGACUUAGACUGGGAGCAGAAGUGUGAACUAUUUACAGCCCGAUGGGCCCAUGAAACAUCAGGACAUCUAGGAAAAGAUGCAACCUACAGAUGAGCUUGUGAUCGAGGGGUGGAUCUGAUCACAGAGGCUAUCACACAGGUCACCCAUGAAUGUGAAGCAUGUGCUGCAAUCAGGGAGUAAAGUAGCAGGAGUGACAUGAACCGACGGUGAGUGAAUUUUACGAGGAGCGAGGAGAGUGCGACGAUAGCCCGGGCAGGGCCGGUGUCGGUGCCGAAGGAUCGUGUGUGUCGCUUCUGUCCCGAGCACCCAUCUUGAUGGAAUGGAGCCCAAGUCACGGCCUGUUUUUAAACAUCCGGAGGGGUGGAGGAAACCCAUGGAAUGGGAAAAUAAUAUCUAUCUUUGAAAGGAAGGGAGACAUUAGUUAAUGAAAAUGUAUACGUGUGUUGGGCAUAAAGAUGGUUUAAGCAUGGAGUUUAAGUUGUAAGCGUUGGUAAGAAGGGAUUUCAGUCAUGACAAAUAAAUAAAUUCAGGCAAAUAAAUACAACGGAAUAAUUGGAAGACAGAUAUAUAAAUAUAAUUCUGUGGCAUCUGAGUAUGAUGCAAAUGGUGUCAAGUAAGGGGUGGAGAUUGCAUUGGGUGUGGCUGAGAUGGAGUUUGUUUUCCCCAUAGCGGCCAUCAGUGCCAUGCUUUGCAUUGGUAACUAGAAGGGUGUUGAUAACACCCCAGUGUUUUGGCUACUGCUGGGCAGUGUUGGCACAGCAUCAGCGCUGUCUCUCCAACAUUCUGUCCCUCAUCAGUAGGCUGGGGGCGGGAGGAGACACCACUAGACCAGGUGACCCAAACUGGCCAGAGGGCUAUUCUGUACCAUAUGAUGACUUCAGCUCAGAAAUAAAAGCUGAGUUAAGGAGAGGGAAGGGGGCACAUUCGCUAUUUACAACGUUUGCCUUUUGGAGCAACCCCUACGCGUGCUGAAGCCCUGCUUCUUGGAAAGUGGUCGGACAGUGCUUGCUGAUGGGAACUAGCGGAUAUAAUUAUUUGUUUUUCCUGUUUGCUUUUUCGUGCGAAAACUUUCUCUUUUCCUUUAGUAAACUGCCUUAGCUCACCCUGUGA